rnacentral:lncRNA from 1 species
GUGUGACAUGAAUAGGUUACUAUAGGCUUGAGCAAUCACAUAGGACAUGAAUUGUAACUAUUUUUAUAAAGAAGAAUAGACUUGUCCUUCAAAAUAUAUACUUGAGCAUGCAUAAUUUGUUAUGUUAUUCAGGAAUAGGGAGGCAUAAGUUUUAAAAAAAAUACAAACAAAGAAUGAAAUGUAAAUAGUUGCUUAAUGUAAUUAUGCAACAAAUUAGAACAUCGGUGGGUCAAAUAACUGAGCCUGCAAUUAGAAAGUCCAAAUAGCUUACGCUAAAAAGAAGGUAAACAUAGGCGACACCGUAAAAACAAAGGUAAACAUAGGUGACACAAUAAAGCCUGGUUUGAUGAACUCUAUCACACACUUUGUGAUGUUUGAUGAAUAAAGCUAUCCCUCAAAAGAAGUGACACAAUAAAAUGUACUUAAUACAUGAUGAACAUUUCUUAGAAAUAGUGGUCAAUUACAUCAUAUAAUUUGGUUCUGUACAAAAAAAAGUUUCCUCUUUUGUGUAUAUAUCCUAAACACCACCCCUUGCGAUGAACUCUUUGUCUUUGUCCACAAAUUUGGUUAUUCCCCAUCCAGCAUGUCAGUUGCAGUCUCCUGAAGCAUAAGAACAACACAAGUUAAAACAAUCUGGUCAAACAUACACUAAGAAUAUACCCAUGGGCAUUAUCGACAGAUUAAACCAAAGUUAUAGUGCAGCAGGUUCUCUGUAAAGUCAAGUUACCAUGCGGUUUUUACGAACCAAUGGAGAAAAGCCGAAACACUGACC